AGGACGAACGCUGGCGGCGUGCUUAACACAUGCAAGUCGAACGGUAAGGCCCUUCGGGGUACACGAGUGGCGAACGGGUGAGUAACACGUGGGUGAUCUGCCCUGCACUUCGGGAUAAGCUUGGGAAACUGGGUCUAAUACCGGAUAUGACUACGAAUCGCAUGGUUUGUGGUGGAAAGCUUUUGCGGUGUGGGAUGGGCCCGCGGCCUAUCAGCUUGUUGGUGGGGUGAUGGCCUACCAAGGCGACGACGGGUAGCCGGCCUGAGAGGGUGUCCGGCCACACUGGGACUGAGAUACGGCCCAGACUCCUACGGGAGGCAGCAGUGGGGAAUAUUGCACAAUGGGCGCAAGCCUGAUGCAGCGACGCCGCGUGAGGGAUGACGGCCUUCGGGUUGUAACCUCUUUCAGUAUCGACGAAGCGCAAGUGACGGUAGGUACAGAAGAAGGACCGGCCAACUACGUGCCAGCAGCCGCGGUAA
rnacentral:rRNA from 1 species